UGGGGAAUAUUGGACAAUGGGCGAAAGCCUGAUCCAGCCAUGCCGCAUGAGUGAAGAAGGCCUUUGGGUUGUAAAGCUCUUUUAGUGAGGAAGAUAAUGACGGUACUCACAGAAGAAGUCCUGGCUAACUCCGUGCCAGCAGCCGCGGUAAUACGGAGAGGGCUAGCGUUAUUCGGAAUUAUUGGGCGUAAAGGGCGCGUAGGCUGGUUAAUAAGUUAAAAGUGAAAUCCCGAGGCUUAACCUUGGAAUUGCUUUUAAAACUAUUAAUCUUGAGAUUGAAAGAGGAUAGAGGAAUUCCUGAUGUAGAGGUAAAAUUCGUAAAUAUUAGGAGGAACACCGGUGGCGAAGGCGUCUAUCUGGUUCAAAUCUGACGCUGAAGCGCGAAGGCGUGGGGAGCAAACA
rnacentral:rRNA from 1 species